GUUGCGCCCCAAGCCUUCGGGCCGAGGGCACGCUUGCCUGGGCGUCAC
rnacentral:rRNA from 1 species